AGGACGAACGCUGGCGGCGUGCUUAACACAUGCAAGUCGAGCGAGGCCCUUCCUUCGGUGGUGAUCAGCGGCGAACGGGUGAGUAACACGUGGGCAACCUGCCCCUAGCUCUGGGAUAACCUCGGGAAAACCGAGGCUAAUACCGGAUAUGACCUUGAGCGGCAUCUCUCAAGGUGGAAAGAUUUAUUGGCUAGGGAUGGGCCCGCGGCCUAUCAGCUUGUUGGUGGGGUAAUGGCCUACCAAAGGCGACGACGGGUA
rnacentral:rRNA from 1 species